AUAGAGUAUCAAGAGUAGAGUGAAACUCUCGCCAACCUGCCUACCCGGGCAAGGUGGUAAAAAGAUGCGGCUAACCGGCAACCAAACGGGGACCC
rnacentral:ncRNA from 1 species